GGGGGUAGCCUAGGUCAAAACAUCACUGUAACCUUGAAACAGGAUGCUUUUACUAGAUGACCAACUAAAAUAGCUGGAAGACAAUACUUUAGAAAUGGAUAGUUGUAAGAUUAUAAAAAUGCAAAUGUAAUUUAUCUUUCCAUUUCUCUCCCUUUUUUUGUCUUCUCUUCCCCAACACUGAGUGUCUUCACAAAUGUCACCUACUCAGAAAGCAUUUCUUCUCCAUUUAAGGUUUGAUUGCAUUCCGGGUCGUGUGCUGCCUAUCUGUGCUGGGCUCACCUCUCUUACAUUGGUUUUGUUCCUACACUCUGGUUAUACCUUUGUUUGGUUUCUUAGAAAUUGCGGCAGACUCAUUGGGCUACAUUUAGUACAGGAUCUCUGUGUGUUAAUGUUACAGGACAUGGUCUAGUAUACAAUCAUCUUUCUUCGAGUAAAAACUACCUCUAGAUUGUGGUAAGCUUUUACUGUCCCAUAAAACAGAAGCCACAAGUACCUUAAGGAUGCAAAACUGUAACUUCCUGCAUAUCUUUCCAUAUAGAAAUUGUCUUUUUGGUGUCCUGGGCUAUUUUGAAAAGUUUCCACCCGUCGGCUUUUUACAACAUCAUCAUUAGUAGCUUCCCCCCAUUCCCACCCCACAGCUUUGAUAAAUCUUCAUUACUCAUUCUUUUGCUCAGACUAUGCCAUUGUAAAUACAGUUCCUAACAUCUUGAAAUCGCUUUUUCCUCAGUUUUCAAGGGCGAAGUCAUUUGUAAAACACGUAGUUAAAGUUAUUGUGGUCUUUUCUUUACUGCAAGCCUUUUUAAUUACUACAGGCUGCAUUAUGCUAUAGCCUUUCUCUCUUUAAGUCUGCUCCCGUCACUAGCUUCUCUUGUAAGCUAAUCCUGCCUCAUACUUUAAAUCUGUUUCAGUGACCAAGGGCAGAAUUCUUUGUGGCCUUAUCUUUCUUUGUUUUAACUGUUUACUGGCUUUUUCUUGCAAACUUGCUUAUUUCUGAAUAGUAUUUAUUCUGCUCUCUGUUGAGUCUGGAAGUAGCCUUCACACAGUGCUUUUUGUUCAGAGCGCAGAAAUGUUUUCAGUGCUGCUGAAAUGGGCCACAGGUUUCCUCCACUUCCCAAGUUUGUUAUUUAGUUACCAAUUUAUAUUAAAUUAACUGAUAACAAAUAAGAUGCUUUUGAAGCACAAACUAUUCCUACCCAGCAUUGCAACUCAAAAUAUUUUUUUUCAAGUUUAUGACUUUAUUAAAAUGAACUUUUGCUUUUUUACUGUUUAACUAUGUCUAAUUUUGGCUCUGUUUAUUUUAAUAAGAUAAUUGAAAUAUUGGACUGUAAACCCUUUUCAUUGUUGGUUCUUUUUUUAAGAGUAUAUUUAAGAGUAUACUCUUACAGGCCCCCACCCCCACCCCUGCCACUGUUUUAUGCCAUUCUACAUACCACAAACUGAAAUGAUUUGUCUAUUAUGGCUCAUCGUUUAUCAGUAGUUCUUUUGUCAGCUGCUUAAAAAAAUUUUUGUGAAUUUUUUUCAGUGUAUAAUUUACAGGAGCCUCGUCCUCCAGUUAUAGUAUUGUAGAACGUGGCCCUUCCUCCAAUUGUGGCAUUAUUAGAGAUGCUGAUCAGUUUCCCUCAUAAAGGCUCUCAGAAUGGUAACCACUUCAGUUAAAGUAUAGUAUGUUCAAGUUGUUUUUUUUUUUUAAGUCAUGUAUUAGAAGUAUAUCCUAUGCUUUUAUGAUUCUAUGCAGUUUCUGAAAAUAUGCAUAGAAGCUGUCUCUUAUCUAAUAUAUUGUUUUAAUUGAUUACAUAGAUUGAGAAGGCAAACAAAAAGCUAUAAAUAUAAAAUGCCCUUUUUAUUUUGAAUGGUUUCAGAGUUGAACACUAGUAUAAUCUGCUGCUGACUUUUCUUAAACCACGACAAGUAAAGAUAUCCAUAUGUGCGUAUUAACUGGUAAAAUAUUUGUCACUCUUACUGCACAGACUUACUUGCGAUAUUAACUGGUUAUUUUUUUUUUUUUUUAAUGAAACUAGUACUGUCUGUGCCCUCACAGGAAAUUGUCAACAGUUUUUAAGAACUAAACUAUUCAUGUUUAAUCAGAUAAUCCAUGUAGGGGUGGGGGUGGUGGGGUUCUUUUUUGAAUCAAAAUGUUAUUCAAUUAUUAACUAAGUUACUUACUUUUGAUUUCAAAAGCAGCUGUGUUUCUGAUGAAUACUGAACAAAUGUGUGUAAUUUUCUGUGCCAGACUUUUGACUUUGUUUUCAAGCACUGUAACGUGGGAUGGAUGGUUAGAAACAAUAAUAUAUUAGGGUUUCUAUUUAACCCUUUCAGGACUGAACUGUAUUUCCUUUUAUUAAUUUUUCCCUGUGUUGUGAUAAAUGUUUGCCAGCAUUCAGUACUGUGUUGGUCCAGAUGUAGGUUUAUUAGCAAUAAGAUAGAAGAUUGAGCAAGUUUAUACCAUAAUUUUGUAGAAAAAAGAAUCUGCUCAGUUCCAUAUUUCAUCCAUGAGAAACCUGCAAUACGGGCAGUUUCAAGAAAUAAAUAAAAAGGAAAUGUAAACCAUUGUAAAAGUGUUCUGUUGGACGUGCCUGAUACCUGUGUUAUCAUCAUUGAUUUCAGAAUACUUAAAGUUUGUUAGUUUUACCUUGCUGUCUAAGCUUCAUCACAUCAAAGUAAUAACUAUACUGAUUUUAUUUUUCUUUUUUGCAUUUUUAACUAGAUAGUGCUUUAAAAAGAAAGGUUUUGUUUUGUUUUGUUUUGUUUUUUGAGAGGGUUUUUUUUAAUCCUUGUAAAUGGGGAAAUGGACUUUGGAUAUUAGUUGUCUCCUAAUUCAGGAACAUUUUGAACUAAUCUCAACAUGAUUGGAAAGCAUUAUUUAAUGACAGCUUGCUUUUCCAGUAUGAGGUUAUCAUUUGGGCCUGGUGUAUGAAAGAACAUAGAAUGGUUUGUGCUUUUUGUUGGGGUCUCUUGAGUAUGCUUUCAGAGAAAGCAUACUUUGUUUAAUGGUGGUUUAGUUGCUAAGUCAUGGCCAACUCUUGCGACCCCAUGGCCUGUAGUCUCCUCUGUCAUGGGAUUUUCUGGGCAAGAAUACUGGAGUGGGUUGCCAUUUCCUUCUUCAGGGGAUCUUCCCAACUUAGGAAUUGAACUUGGGUCUCCUGCAUUGUAAGCAGAUUCUUUACCGACUGAGCUAUAAGGGAAGCCCACUUUGUUCAAUAGGGAAACAGUAAAGGAGGAGGAGGUUACGAAUUUUUUAAAUCAUAGCAAGUUCAUUUAUCUGACAUCCCCUAAAAGAAAAAAACGUAAGCCAGGUUAUCACGAUUUUGCUAAAGACAUCUUCUGAAAAUAGUGAUUGUUAAAUAAAUAAUUUAGUUGGGGUUUGAAUGGUGAGACUUUCAAUGGCUAGGAUUGGUAAUAGCUUCCUUUAAAAAAUAAUUUAUUAUUUUUUAACAGUAGGUCUUAUUGGUUAUCUAUUUUAAAUAUAGCAGUGUGUACUUGUCAGUUCCAGACUCUCAUCUCUAGAUUAAGUAAUAGCUCCUUUAGAAUUUAGAUGGGAAUAGUACAAUAAUAUAUAAAGAGUAUGUGAUCACUUUCUAAGCAACCUAAUGAAAGAUCAGUGUAUAUGUAUAUGUUUUUUGUCCUUGGAUCCCUAAGUGGUUGCCAGUUUAAAAGAUACAGAGGGCAAGCUACAUCGGAUGCUAGUGGUGAAGGAUCCCAGUAGUAAGUACUCUUCCCAGAGAAAAAUCUUUUUCCCUAGUUUAGUGCUAGACGACAAUGAGGGCAACGAUUAAGUUGAUGUAUAUAAGGUACAAAUGAAGGGAUUAAUUUUGACUUAGUCAGACCCUAAAGUUUUAGGCUCGGAGAUAGAACACACAGCCCUGGCAAGAACCUGCAAGACUGGACAGUUACUUGCAGUUCAUGUGUUAAGGAUAAAGUCGUCUGUGUGCCUGGUGUGCAGGUGUUCAGCAAAUACUUUCAGUUGUUAUGCACACAUAUGUAAGAAGUCGUGACACAUCUUGGUUUAAAUAAAAGACAGGUGAAUAUUAUCCAGAAAAGGAACAGGGUUUCAACUCUUAACAAGAAACAUUCGUGCGGAACUCGGGUUUUGUUUUUUUUUAAUGGAAUUUAUAAAAUGUUUUGCUUUGGGGAAAGUAGCACUUUAAAAUGUGAAAUUCUGUGACACGUUUUUUAAAAGAUAAG
ensembl:lncRNA